rnacentral:rRNA from 1 species
CCUACGGGUGGCUGCAGUGAGGACUAUUGGUCAAUGGACGAGAGUCUGCACCAGCCAAGUAGCGUGAAGGAUGACUGCCCUCUGGGUUGUAAACUUCUUUUAUAUGGGAAUAAAAUGUUCCACGUGUGGGAUUUUGUAUGUACCAUAUGAAUAAGGAUCGGCUAACUCCGUGCCAGCAGCCGCGGUAAUACGGAGGCUCCGAGCGUUAUCCGGAUUUAUUGGGUUUAUAGGUAGCGUAGGUGGAUUGUUAAGUCAGUUGGGAAAGUUUGCGGCUCAACCGUAAAAUUGCAGUUGAAACUGGCAGUCUUGAGUACAGUAGAGGUGGGCGGAAUUCGUGGUGUAGCGGUGAAAUGCUUAGAUAUCACGAAGAACUCCGAUUGCGAAGGCAGUUCACUGGACUGCAACUGACACUGAGGCUCGAAAGUGUGGGUAUCAAACAGGAUUAGAUACCCGGGUAGUC